rnacentral:rRNA from 1 species
GACGAACGCUGGCGGCGUGCCUAAUACAUGCAAGUAGAACGCUGAAGCGAGGAGCUUACUCUUCUUGGAUGAGUUGCGAACGGGUGAGUAACGCGUAGGUAACCUGCCUUGUAGCGGGGGAUAACUAUUGGAAACGAUAGCUAAUACCGCAUAACAAUGGAUGACACAUGUCAUUUAUUUGAAAGGGGCAAUUGCUCCACUACAAGAUGGACCUGCGUUGUAUUAGCUAGUAGGUGAGGUAAUGGCUCACCUAGGCGACGAUACAUAGCCGACCUGAGAGGGUGAUCGGCCACACUGGGACUGAGACACGGCCCAGACUCCUACGGGAGGCAGCAGUAGGGAAUCUUCGGCAAUGGGGGCAACCCUGACCGAGCAACGCCGCGUGAGUGAAGAAGGUUUUCGGAUCGUAAAGCUCUGUUGUAAGUCAAGAACGGGUGUGAGAGUGGAAAGUUCACACUGUGACGGUAGCUUACCAGAAAGGGACGGCUAACUACGUG